UUUUUAGGUUGGGUCACCACCCCCCUCGGGAAGUUUUUUUUUUAGCCCCGCCAAGCGCAACCCCCUUCGCUUUUGGUCCCCAGCUUUGGGGGGGCCUCUUAAGAGGCCGCCCGGGACAAACCCGGGGGAAGUGGGGAUAACCUCCAGUUUUCCUUGCCCCUUUUGGCAGGGGUUCACCCCGGGUUCAAAUGGCCGGUCAAAGGGGUUGCAAACCUGGAGGGGGGGCCAAUUUCCCAAAGCCCGUUCUCGGCCGGGAUGGUGUUCUCCACCUGGCGACCGGGAGCCCGGAAUGGCUAGAAUUGGGGGUUGCAGCAUGCUGCGGGAUACUUCCCGUG
rnacentral:rRNA from 1 species